rnacentral:rRNA from 1 species
CCUACGGGGGGCAGCAGUGGGGAAUAUUGGACAAUGGGGGCAACCCUGAUCCAGCCAUGCCGCGUGUGUGAAGAAGGCCCUCGGGUUGUAAAGCACUUUCAGUGAGGAAGAACGCCUGGUGGUUAAUACCCAUCAGUAAAGACAUCACUCACAGAAGAAGCACCGGCUAACUCCGUGCCAGCAGCCGCGGUAAUACGGAGGGUGCGAGCGUUAAUCGGAAUUACUGGGCGUAAAGCGCGCGUAGGUGGCUUGAUAAGCCGGUUGUGAAAGCCCCGGGCUCAACCUGGGAACGGCAUCCGGAACUGUCAAGCUAGAGUGCAGGAGAGGAAGGUAGAAUUCCCGGUGUAGCGGUGAAAUGCGUAGAGAUCGGGAGGAAUACCAGUGGCGAAGGCGGCCUUCUGGACUGACACUAACACUGAGGUGCGAAAGCGUGGGUAGCAAACAGGAUUAGAUACCCUGGUAGUC